UACGGAGGGUGCAAGCGUUAUCCGGAUUCACUGGGUUUAAAGGGUGCGUAGGCGGGCAGGUAAGUCCGUGGUGAAAUCUCUGAGCUUAACUCAGAAACUGCCAUGGAUACUAUUUGUCUUGAAUGUUGUGGAGGUAAGCGGAAUAUGUCAUGUAGCGGUGAAAUGCUUAGAUAUGACAUAGAACACCAAUUGCGAAGGCAGCUUACUACACAAAUAUUGACGCUGAGGCACGAAAGCGUGGGUAGCAAACAGG
rnacentral:rRNA from 1 species